GACGUUUUAGAGGCGUUUUUAAAAACCCGCCUCUAAAAUCCUGAAAAAUAAAAAUCUAAAAUUCUUUUCCCCCCAAAUACACUAUUCCUAAAAAAACCCUAAAUCCAUUUGCCCCCAAAUACACUAUCCUAAAAAAACCCUAAAUCCAUUUCCCCCUAAACCUGCAGCCACCUCCAACUCUCUCCUCCCAAAAACCCACUUCGAUCUCCAUCCCUCUUCUCCCAAAAAAUCGACGGUGAUGACCGAUCUUUCCCCGACGGCUGUCGCACUCCCAGGGCGGGUCCGGUGAGGUGUCGCGUCUGCUUCGGCGACCUCUCCCCAUCAAAGUUAUCUGGUAUGCGGCGCACCCCCCCCUUCGACCUUUCUCCGGCAGCAGACCAACCUCCCCAGACGCCGCCGUUUUUUCUCCUGUAGCGCACCAGCCCCCUACCCCCCGACGCCGCCCUUUUUUCUCCGGCAGCGCACCAGUACUCCGACAGCAUACCAACCCCC
rnacentral:lncRNA from 1 species